AUUUAUAGAUGAUUUUUCUUUCUUGUCUUUCAGACAUCAAGAAGCUGUUCCGGUUGGCUGGUUUGGACAAGAAGUCCAAAUUCUUCAGAUCGUAGAGGAAUCCUUCCCAGAGGACCUCUGGUGAGGUACCUAACCUCUAUGAGCAGAACAGUUUGUUUGUAUAUGUAUUGUUGUUUAUUUGCAUACUUGUAUUUACAUUUAAAUUGUGGUUCAAUUCUCUUUUUUUUUUAUAAAACCCGAGGUCCAGGAUUCAGUUUAAAAUACAAUGAACAUAUUGGUUCCAUCAAAACCCCAGCACGGAUUUUACACAUGUAAAAAUAGGGAGAUUGUUUUUAUUUUUCAAACCAGCCCAUUUAAGUCAUACAAAAUCUAUAUUUGCAAUGCAAGACAAGGCAGUGGAUCCCCCCACCCCCCAACUCCCUGGUGAGCUACCUGAGAGAGUCCGGUGGGGGACACUGUGUCCUGUAAUAUUCUUGCUCAGUCACAAUAUGUCCCCCCCCUUCCCUCUUAUUCACCCGUUUCGGGAUUUGCUCUUCUCAUUGAAAUCUCAUUCUAUUUUCUGACCAAUUUCUUGGUAUUAUCUUAUCAGUAUUUGCUUGUUAAUACUCUUUCAAUCUGCACCACUAAGUUGACACAUCCACGGCACUUCUUAAAUUCGCUGGUCAUCUAAAAGGUAACUGGUUUCUCCCCCUCCGGCAGCUCAGCGUGUGGUUGCGGCUGAUGGACGCUCGGUGUCGAGCGAAUCAGGUCCGGUCCCCCGGGUGGCGCUGUGACCGUGAGGGCCAUCUGUCUGGACGCAGAUGGACACAAGUGUACUGUUAUUCAUUCAGCACCUCUUCCCCUUCGAGCGGUGCUGAUCCGGUUGUAAUUAGCGGUAUAGGGUACUGGUCACACAUAGAGCCACUAAUUGGGUUGGCAGGGCGCCGUUACCCAGAGCUAAUCACCAUCCUCUGGGUGACGAGGCCCUUUGACCACUCCCUGCUAGCAGGAUCUACAUCACAUUGGCAGGGCUCAGGAAGUCCCGCUACGCUGAUUAACACACACUCUGCUGUUCCUCGCUGUAGGAUGUUCUUUCAAAAAGGCUCUGCUGAGAGUUUUGCCGUUAUUCUUCCCAAAGCUUGCUUGGCGAUGUCGUUCGGCGCGGUCAUUGCUAUGGAAACCGGAUUGUUUGUUAACCAAGUUUAGCAGCUACCAACUGCUCAGUGCUAUGAUACGAGGGAGCGUAAGACACCUGGUGGGAACAAUACGUUGGCAGGGUUUCUUCUUUGCUGAUUCCGAAUGUCCGUUUGGGGUUCCGGGUUCCUGCAGAGCAGAAGACAGAGGCCAACAAGCUGGAGGACGUCAGUAAAACGCACACACAGCUACUAAAUAGAUUCACAUAAUAAGUGGAUUAGCCAUCAACAUGGUGCACAUCCACUUUCUGUUGGAGACUCACUUUUGACAAUUGUGUUUGGGGAUACUUCUGCAGUGGUCGGCUUGGCCAAGGGGACUUUACAGUAAUUACAUGUGACUACAUGUAACAGUCAAUGACAUAUUGGUUUGGGGUUUGUGAGACCCUGUGGUACGGAGACUGGAGCAGACGGGGUUGCAGGCUGUCAUGACCCUGCUGGGCAAAGAGCCUACCAUGAGCAGAAGCCAAGAGACUUUAGGGAUGGAUGAAAAGAGAGUUUGGCAAAGAAACAAGUGAAUACAAAAGUGUUCACAGUGCUCCAAAACUGAAUAGAGCCAAACCAGACGAGUGCAGAUUGUGUUGAGUAAUACUGAAGAAAGGAAAGAUUUAACCAGAAAGAAAGGGAUCACAGAUUGAGAGAGACACCAUUGGUAAGGUUCACUUUCCUCGUGAUAACGGCUUUAUCCAUUUUCAUUGGUUUUUGAAGAUUAUAACAACAAUAACCUCUCUUAAGCUCUUCUGUUGUCAAAUCUUCCUGUGAGGAACUGAAAGAGCUCUUUGUGCACACUCACACUGCAAUAACAUGCCUCAGAAGGAAUUUACAAAACUGAUUAUAUGAAAGCAAUUAGUAGGGUAGUUUUUACAGCUUUUGGCAUACAUUUUGUAUCAGAGACUUCUUACAAGAGGUUUGAACCUAAGCCCGUUUGCGUAUUGUUUUGUUUGUCUUUAGCAACUGCACUACUUUUCCCUCUUGCUCAUCACACUGCUGUGGAGUCUUUUAUUUAGAUAAAUCUACAUCGGGUAAAUCUACGCGGUUUUCUGACCUUAUGUCGCCUUGUGGCUGGCAGGUGAGUCUCUAGGCUAUAGAGCACUAUUGUGUUUUGUGUAUGUUGUUUAGUAUCUCUUAUUUGGGAACAUAAACAGCAUGAGUAUGAGCUGCUGCCUUCAAUUGUCUGUCUGUGAACGAGGUGCAUGUUUGUGUGUGUGUGUGUGUGUGUGUGUGUGUGUGUGUGUGUGUGUGUGUGUGUGUGUGUGUGUGUGUGUGUGUGUGAAUGUGUGUGUGUGUGUGUGUGUGUGUGGGUGUGUGUGUGUGUGUGUGUGUGUGUGUGUGUGUGUUUCUAGCCUAAUAGAUUAUCGAUGCACUGCAGGGUUGGUUGGCUACAGCAGACAGUGGAAAUGGGCCUGGACUCCCUCGAGGAAACAAGAUAUCUCCAAUACACACAUACAAACACACACAGCUAACAAACAUACUGUAGUUACAAACGCAGGCACGAUGUGACUUCAGAGGGAAAAAAGCUCUUAUGUGCAGGACUUUAAAGCACAUUUAGCACACUCACACACACUCAUGUGCAAUUAGACACACCACACACCUGCUGGGCCUUAAGAGGAAGCUGAGCUCCAAUCUGCCUCUAUCUGAAGAUGAAAGGAGGAGAAGAGGAGGGCAGAAACGGGCUGGAGGAGGGAGAGGAGGAGGAGGAGGAGGCGAUGGGGAGAGAGGUACAGGACAAAGAGAGCAGAGGAAGAGGAGGAGCAGAUAUAAAGGGUGAUGGCCGACUGCAUGUGCCCGCCUCUUCUCCCUUUCUCCUUUGUGAACAGAUGGGUGGAAGUAUAAGUUUGUGAUGAAAGC
ensembl:lncRNA